rnacentral:lncRNA from 1 species
CUUUUAAAAAAUUUACCUUGUUCUUAAAUUCUCAAUAGAAAAUUCAUUUAUUCAAGAAAUAAUUCAUUAAACAAAAAGUAUUGCGUUCUUAGCAUAAAUCUAUAGAGGUACUAGAUUUGAAUAUAAAUUGAUCCAAAACAUAAAUUAUAUAUUAUUCAAAGAUAUACUUGCUCUGUAAACAGCUCUUGAAAUACAAAAGAAGCUCCUUUAUCAAACUGUGAGAAUUACGUUCUGGCAUGAUGGGAGAUAGCAGAACAGAAUCAUAAUUUGCACUGGAAUUUAAGAUUACAGGGGUCUGGCCUGGUGAUGCAGCGGUUAAGUGCGCAUGUUCCUGCUUCAGUGGCCCAAGGUUUGCCAGUUCAGAUCCCGGGUGUGGACAUGGCACUGCUUAGCAAGCCAUGCUGUGACAAGAAGUCCCCUUCUGCCAAAACAAGACUCAAAACCAAAUAAAAAGUGCUUCUUUCACUCCGCCUUAACCUUCACUUUAUCUGAGGAGGUUCCGAAUUUCAAACAGAUGCAGUCACUCCCGAAUAGUGACAGAAUUAGCCGAUCUGCCUUCUUCAAGUCCCAGCCUUUGUUUAAAAGCUCUUCUAGGACUAGGCAGACCAAAGCAAGAUUUUCGAGGAUUGGUGGUUCUAAGCGCCCCCAGGGGUACCUUGAUGGUCCCCUCCGUGCUUCAGGCCCAGAGCUGUGGGUGGACUUGUGAGCAUCUGUGUUUUCCUGUGUAAUCUUAUUCCCUGCUGAUCGCUGGAUUGGCCCCAAAGGAGAAGUUUCAGAUCUCCCAAAACUAUAAGUCAGCUGUCAGCCUGUGGAAAUUAAUUUUUCGACACCUGUGAAACCUUGCCAGUGAUCUCCUAAGGUCUUAGCUAUCCUAUAGCUGGUGUCUUCCGUGCCUGAUCGCCUGUGAAUACAGCAGAGAAGGACCCUCGGGACCCCCACUGCAGCCACUUGGACCCUCCAGUAGCUGAACUGUUCUUUUCAGUGUUACCAGGAACAUUCUGGACCUUAUCACCUCCCUCGUUUCUGGCCUGAUACUUGAAAGCCAUAGUGGAAGUUACCAAGGGCCACAUGUAAGGUGCUUCCCUAAAAAUUCAAGUCACUGUGAGCCAAUGACGUGAAAACAGUCACAAUGUUUCACAGUUAAGCAGCAUGAUACUCCUCAUUUUUAGUGUUUUAAUGUAAUAAAUGUUGUGUCUUCCUUA